AAUUGAAAACAUUUGUUAAACAUCACUAAAAAUCAUCAAUGGUGUGAGUCAAAGUCCCUACAAUGGCCUGAAGAUUGGAUAGAAUCUGGCUUCUACCAGCUUCCUAACUUCAUCUCCACCACUCAGUCGAGUUUAUGGCAUUCCAGUCCCACACCAAGCAAGCUCUUACCUCAGGGCCUUUGCACUUACAGUUUAUUCUGCCAGGGAUAUUCAUUUAUUAGAUGUUUGCAUGACUUUCUCCCUUAUGUCCUUUGGACUUUAAUUUAGAUGACUGCCUUAUCUAAAACUGAGUUUCCCUAUGCUACUGAUCCCCUUUCCUUGUGUUUAUCUGUAGUCAUAACCCUUAUUUCCUUCUCACGCACAUAUAUACAUUUUACUUGUCUCCCCUCGGUCCAUAAGGACAGGGAUUUUGAUCUGUUUUAUUCACUUUCCCUAAAAUCUAUAAUUUAAUCUGGCAUAUAGACAGCCCAGUGUGACAGACUGGUUCCUCUACAUUAAGCACAGUCUCUUCUCCAGGCAAUAUCAUUUGGCAAACGCAAGUUUACAGAACAAGUGGGACACUUCCCAGAAAGCCAGGAUCUUGUUGCAGUUCUCCAACAGUUUAUACACUUGCUGACUUGGCCCAUGCUUUUCUCUACUGCAGUCUUCAGACGCAUGCCAGAUGUAUUUCUCAGCAAAACCAGUUUUUCAAUCUGCGUGCCAUUUCCUGUCAGAGCUUUAUGCUCAACUGUCUCUAUUUAGGCAUGUGCAUAUAUAGGGUGAGUUAGUUUAUCACACCAAUCUUCAUUUUAGUUAUGUAACAACCAAGAUUUAUUUGGUGUUCAGAUAAGAUUUGCUUGGGGUCAAAUCAGUUUUGUUUUUUUUUAAGAAAGUGAGGAUUUCACAGCAUAACCAAGGUGAUUGACUCCUUCAUAUUGAGAGCACCGUUUGUCCAGAGACACAGAAAUGAACUUAAAAAAUAAUCUCAAUCCUGAAAUCUAGGAUUUAGUAAAAGAUUGUGAGUUUGAAGGAAAAUACUAGGUCUCCCAUACCCCAACCCUCUUUCCUCCCACCCUCCCAUCCUCCAACCCCAACCUUCCCUAUUGAGGCGAAAGAUUCUAAUAUUCACCUGGAAGUUCUGGAUCCCUGGAGACAUCCUCUCUUUCCCAUAUGCUCUAUAUUUAAAUCUGCACUUUUCAAAUAUGGCCUGAAACUAUCUGCUUCUCAUUUCUCUAUGUCAGCCUCCCUAGAUGGAGCC